rnacentral:lncRNA from 1 species
UGAAAAGAGAGAUGGGAGGAGAGGAUGGAGCAUGGGAUCCAGGCACUGCUCUGUAGCUGGGGCUCUGAGCUCUACUCUCCAUACCCUCCUUCAGAGGAGACAGGUGGGGACCGAAGCCAUUUCCCCAUCUCCCACAGGGGGACACAGACUGACAGGCAGUCAAUGACCCUUGUUUCUGGGGCCUUGUCUUCUCUCCUCCAGGCAUCUGAACCUUGCAGCUUCCCUGCCCCUCACUUGGCAGCCCUCCUGUCUCAGCAGUGGAGAGAGGUGGGGGCCCUGGGAAAGAGUUGCCCGUUCCUAGACCAGACUGCAGAGCUGAGGGCAGGGGAAGGGAAGGAGGUGGGAUAGUGAAGAUUGAGAAGGUCUGUCCCAGGCCAGGACUGGGUGAAGGCAUGCAGCUGGUGUGCAGCUGUCUGGGCUCUCCUCUCCAGAGGCCUGCCGCCCCUCUCCAAGUCCUGCGUGGUGUUCUUCCUCCUUCGGAAUGCUUUUCCCUCCCACCCUGGCAUUCAGGGUCUGGACACCUCUCUCCAGCUCGUAUCUAAGUGUAGGACAGGCAGCAUGCCAGGAAACGCCCCAGGGGAGGGCCCCUACUCUUCUUUCUACAUCCUU